rnacentral:rRNA from 1 species
GGGUUGUGAGGUUAAGCGACUAAGCGUACACGGUGGAUGCCCUGGCAGUCAGAGGCGAUGAAGGACGUGCUAAUCUGCGAUAAGCGUCGGUAAGGUGAUAUGAACCGUUAUAACCGGCGAUUUCCGAAUGGGGAAACCCAGUGUGAUUCGUCACACUAUCAUUAACUGAAUCCAUAGGUUAAUGAGGCGAACCGGGGGAACUGAAACAUCUAAGUACCCCGAGGAAAAGAAAUCAACCGAGAUUCCCCCAGUAGCGGCGAGCGAACGGGGAGCAGCCCAGAGCCUGAAUCAGUGUGUGUGUUAGUGGAAGCGUCUGGAAAGGCGCGCGAUACAGGGUGACAGCCCCGUACACAAAAAUGCACAUGCUGUGAGCUCGAUGAGUAGGGCGGGACACGUGGUAUCCUGUCUGAAUAUGGGGGGACCAUCCUCCAAGGCUAAAUACUCCUGACUGACCGAUAGUGAACCAGUACCGUGAGGGAAAGGCGAAAAGAACCCCGGCGAGGGGAGUGAAAAAGAACCUGAAACCGUGUACGUACAAGCAGUGGGAGCACGCUUAGGCGUGUGACUGCGUACCUUUUGUAUAAUGGGUCAGCGACUUAUAUUCUGUAGCAAGGUUAACCGAAUAGGGGAGCCGAAGGGAAACCGAGUCUUAACUGGGCGUUAAGUUGCAGGGUAUAGACCCGAAACCCGGUGAUCUAGCCAUGGGCAGGUUGAAGGUUGGGUAACACUAACUGGAGGACCGAACCGACUAAUGUUGAAAAAUUAGCGGAUGACUUGUGGCUGGGGGUGAAAGGCCAAUCAAACCGGGAGAUAGCUGGUUCUCCCCGAAAGCUAUUUAGGUAGCGCCUCGUGAAUUCAUCUCCGGGGGUAGAGCACUGUUUCGGCAAGGGGGUCAUCCCGACUUACCAACCCGAUGCAAACUGCGAAUACCGGAGAAUGUUAUCACGGGAGACACACGGCGGGUGCUAACGUCCGUCGUGAAGAGGGAAACAACCCAGACCGCCAGCUAAGGUCCCAAAGUCAUGGUUAAGUGGGAAACGAUGUGGGAAGGCCCAGACAGCCAGGAUGUUGGCUUAGAAGCAGCCAUCAUUUAAAGAAAGCGUAAUAGCUCACUGGUCGAGUCGGCCUGCGCGGAAGAUGUAACGGGGCUAAACCAUGCACCGAAGCUGCGGCAGCGACUAUGCUGGAGGUAUCAGAAGUGCGAAUGCUGACAUAAGUAACGAUAAAGCGGGUGAAAAGCCCGCUCGCCGGAAGACCAAGGGUUCCUGUCCAACGUUAAUCGGGGCAGGGUGAGUCGACCCCUAAGGCGAGGCCGAAAGGCGUAGUCGAUGGGAAACAGGUUAAUAUUCCUGUACUUGGUGUUACUGCGAAGGGGGGACGGAGAAGGCUAUGUUGGCCGGGCGACGGUUGUCCCGGUUUAAGCGUGUAGGCUGGUUUUCCAGGCAAAUCCGGAAAAUCAAGGCUGAGGCGUGAUGACGAGGCACUACGGUGCUGAAGCAACAAAUGCCCUGCUUCCAGGAAAAGCCUCUAAGCAUCAGGUAACAUCAAAUCGUACCCCAAACCGACACAGGUGGUCAGGUAGAGAAUACCAAGGCGCUUGAGAGAACUCGGGUGAAGGAACUAGGCAAAAUGGUGCCGUAACUUCGGGAGAAGGCACGCUGAUAUGUAGGUGAAGUCCCUCGCGGAUGGAGCUGAAAUCAGUCGAAGAUACCAGCUGGCUGCAACUGUUUAUUAAAAACACAGCACUGUGCAAACACGAAAGUGGACGUAUACGGUGUGACGCCUGCCCGGUGCCGGAAGGUUAAUUGAUGGGGUUAGCGCAAGCGAAGCUCUUGAUCGAAGCCCCGGUAAACGGCGGCCGUAACUAUAACGGUCCUAAGGUAGCGAAAUUCCUUGUCGGGUAAGUUCCGACCUGCACGAAUGGCGUAAUGAUGGCCAGGCUGUCUCCACCCGAGACUCAGUGAAAUUGAACUCGCUGUGAAGAUGCAGUGUACCCGCGGCAAGACGGAAAGACCCCGUGAACCUUUACUAUAGCUUGACACUGAACAUUGAGCCUUGAUGUGUAGGAUAGGUGGGAGGCUUUGAAGUGUGGACGCCAGUCUGCAUGGAGCCGACCUUGAAAUACCACCCUUUAAUGUUUGAUGUUCUAACGUUGACCCGUGAUCCGGGUUGCGGACAGUGUCUGGUGGGUAGUUUGACUGGGGCGGUCUCCUCCUAAAGAGUAACGGAGGAGCACGAAGGUUGGCUAAUCCUGGUCGGACAUCAGGAGGUUAGUGCAAUGGCAUAAGCCAGCUUGACUGCGAGCGUGACGGCGCGAGCAGGUGCGAAAGCAGGUCAUAGUGAUCCGGUGGUUCUGAAUGGAAGGGCCAUCGCUCAACGGAUAAAAGGUACUCCGGGGAUAACAGGCUGAUACCGCCCAAGAGUUCAUAUCGACGGCGGUGUUUGGCACCUCGAUGUCGGCUCAUCACAUCCUGGGGCUGAAGUAGGUCCCAAGGGUAUGGCUGUUCGCCAUUUAAAGUGGUACGCGAGCUGGGUUUAGAACGUCGUGAGACAGUUCGGUCCCUAUCUGCCGUGGGCGCUGGAGAACUGAGGGGGGCUGCUCCUAGUACGAGAGGACCGGAGUGGACGCAUCACUGGUGUUCGGGUUGUCAUGCCAAUGGCACUGCCCGGUAGCUAAAUGCGGAAGAGAUAAGUGCUGAAAGCAUCUAAGCACGAAACUUGCCCCGAGAUGAGUUCUCCCUGACUCCUUGAGAGUCCUGAAGGAACGUUGAAGACGACGACGUUGAUAGGCCGGGUGUGUAAGCGCAGCGAUGCGUUGAGCUAACCGGUACUAAUGAACCGUGAGGCUUAACCUUACAACGCCGAAG